GCCCCCGUGGAUCAUUCCACCUGUUUUUUGGGAUAAAUAGAUGUGUAACGAGGAGACGGAGGUUCGAUUCCUCCCGGGGGCA